AGCCAUAGUAGAAUUUCACACCUACUGCCACCUGAUGAGAUCCUGCCUGGACAGCCUACACCUGAGUUCACCUUGACAGAACAUGGGUCCCAUAGACAUUUGCCUAUAAAAUGCAGAGGAUGAGCAGAUAACAGGCCACUGCCAGAGUCCUCAAAUAAUAAUGAUGAUAAUGAUAGUGACGAUAAUGAAGCUGGACCUGCACCUGCCCAAGCCAUCAUUCCUGCUGUGCUCAGAAGGAGAUGACACCAGGACUGGAACAGAGAUUAUCAGGAGGAUAUCUGGGCGGUUGUAACUGAUGUGUUUCAAACACAGGUGAGGGACUUGAUGGGAUAUGGCACCGGCUAUGCAUGACUCAUUUAGGGAGAUCACAUGUGAGGUCAUUUCUGAGGAUCAUCCCAAUUAGCCUGGUCCAUCCAGUCCAUAAGUAUUGUUUGUGUGCUCCAGUUGUGUUUUGCUAUCAACAUACUGAUUGCCAUAUAAUUGAUUGAACUGUGUAUGCACUCUUGUGCAUCCAUACCACAUACCCGACAUGUUAUCUUCAUGUGACAUUUAAUUAUGUUUCAAUGUGUGCAUGACACACAUUAACAAACUGCACUUUCCUCCAACAUUCAGCUGCCCAUGCAUUGUGGCAGUUAACCUGCAGCUAGUGCUGCAACAAUUAUCCUGUAAACAUGUGUUUUACUUAGGGUGACUGACAGAUAAUAGAUGUUGUCCAUAGUCCAGCACUACCACUGUGGUAUGGUUAAGAUUUGUGUAUUGCUAUAUCAUGUAUGUUCAACAGAAGGACAUGUCAUUUCCCAUGCAUUUUGGAUGACUGUUGUCAUGCUGUCCCAAUGACAUGGUAUGGUGUUCUGUACCAUAUAUUGCAAUGUUGAUGCCAUGUGGGGUCAUAUGCAGGUAUUUCAUAGCUAUGGGCAGUUCUACUUUUCUUACUGCAUGUAGCAAAUGUAGCAUUAAUGUAUAUACAGUGUUAGAUAAUUUAUUCUGUAACAGUGCAUCAUGCCAUGUUUGCUGCAUCUUACAUUUCUACAUCCAUUAUUUAUUCACAUAAGUACCUUCAAGAAAUAGUUUAAACAUUAACUGAUUGUACAUCUCUGCACAUAGUCAGAUGCAUAGUGAUGCACAAUUAUACUUUUGACAUGUGAUCAUUCACUGACUUACCCCUGAUGUGCUGUAAUGACGCUCACAGGAGUGUCCUCUUCUCAGUAAUGUGCAAGGUGCAUGAUACACACCUGCAUAUGUUUAGUCAAAAUUUGAAUGAUAGUAUGUGUAUGUGCUUGAAUUUCUUAGCUUGAUUACCUACACAUGGUGAUAUUACAUGAUUGCAUAUUACUGUGUAUGUGUGACUUAUAAAAGGCCAUUUCUGUGGUCAUCAGAAAUCAUUCUGCCCAUGUGAUGUACAUUUUCCAUUUGCUUAAAUGUAUUUUGAGUUUGCUUCUACAGCACCCUGUGUGCUGCUGACAUUUGCAGUGUGUCAAGUUUCCUUGUCCUGCUUUUCGCAGAUGAGGGCCUAGGUUGUUUACCUCCCUUCCACCUUCAUAUUUUUGUAUUAUAUUUUUGCAGAUAUGUUUACCUUUGUUGCAGUUAUUGACCAUUGCCAUGUAUUAUGUUGUUGGCAUGGUGAAUAUGCGUUAAAUGUAUGGGCAUUUUAUAGAUGCAGGACAUAUGCACACAAGUCACUGGCUGCUGCUUGCAAUACAUUGUUCUCAUUAUAUUCAUGUGUUAACCAGUGUACAUUGUUGAAAUCCAUGUGCACAACCUGAUAUAUUUUUUAAGCUGUUGUGUUAUAUUUUUGUAAAUAUUCUUACAAUACACAUGGAUGUGUGUAUGAUCAUUGACCUUGCUUUUAUGUACAUUCCAUUUAGGCUACUGACAUUCAUACAUAUACUCCUAUACCUGUGUUGCCUUUGACAUGGCAUAUGUAUGUGACAUACAUACAUUCCAUUACACAUUUGUUUGGGUUGUGUACACUUGCUUAUAUAUUUAGCAGCCAUUUUGCUGCUUUGCUGCAGUAUUGCCAUUGGUACUGUGCUUGGUUGUUUGACUUUUACAUGCAUGGUCAGAGGUUUGGUUUUGUCUUCUGCUAGAGUUAUGUAGCAUUGUUAGACCUGCAUUUGUCAUCUGUGAUGUUGCUUGACUUGCAUUGCUGACAAACUACUUGGAUAUGUGUUUAUUUAUCUAAUUUGUACCGUUUUCCUUAUUUAUUACCCUACAACACACAUCUUCCAAAGGUCAUACACAUCUGGGUACAACUGUCACACAGUUUGCAAUAUGCCAUAACAUGUAGAUAUAUUUUUCUGAAUUUUACCAUGGUUUGUAUUCAUCCCCACCCUGUUUGACAACUUUUCAUUGCCUGUGUUUUACAGUGCGCCAUCUGUGAAACUUACCUGUCCUUACUGUUUUUUCCAAUCUUUGUCUGUCAUGUGUUGUGAUAUUUGUUCUAUGAAUAUACCUGCUUUGAUGUCCUUCUCCUCUUUCCUUAUCUUUACCUUUCCUUCUAUUCUUACAAAACAUGGGGCCUAUUCCUACCAAAAAAAACCAAAAUUAUCCAUGCAGCUCUGACUUCCCCUUAGAUUUUCCUAUUCAGACAUCCUUCUUGUGUGUCCCUCUUCUUCACCCAUACCC